rnacentral:rRNA from 1 species
AUUGAACGCUGGCGGCAGGCCUAACACAUGCAAGUCGAGCGGGGUUUUCGGACCUAGCGGCGGACGGGUGAGUAAUGCGUAGGAAGCUACCCGAUAGAGGGGGAUACCAGUUGGAAACGACUGUUAAUACCGCAUAAUGUCUACGGACCAAAGUGUGGGACCUUCGGGCCACAUGCUAUCGGAUGCGCCUACGUGGGAUUAGCUAGUUGGUGAGGUAAUGGCUCACCAAGGCGACGAUCUCUAGCUGGUUUGAGAGGAUGAUCAGCCACACUGGAACUGAGACACGGUCCAGACUCCUACGGGAGGCAGCAGUGGGGAAUAUUGGACAAUGGGCGCAAGCCUGAUCCAGCCAUGCCGCGUGUGUGAAGAAGGCCUUCGGGUUGUAAAGCACUUUCAGCGAGGAGGAAGGGUUGUGUGUUAAUAGUACACAGCCUUGACGUUACUCGCAGAAGAAGCACCGGCUAACUCUGUGCCAGCCGCCGCGGUAAGAC